GUAGAUAUGGAUGAUAUAUUAACAAUAAAGUAAAUGGUCCCAACAGCCAACAUUUCGCUGUCUAAAUUUAAAAAAUUGACCUUACUUAUUAAUGUGCAUAUCCACUACUGAUUAUUCUGUUUUCCUUAUCUUGUUCUUCUUCUUGUAGAACACAAAUGACAAAAUUAUAUAUAAAUCAUUCUGCUUCAGUAGCCACAAGGGUAUUUCCAUUGAAGCACCCCAAAUAUGCCUUCUAUUUGAGUGUUGGAAAUGUCAAAGUUCAUCUGCCUAUUGGAAGAACAAAGGUAGAUUUUCAAGUAUUGAAGAGCAACUACUAGAAAAGUGGUUUGUUUGAAGGUACUUACAUAUGUGGAUUGUGGAGUCUGAAUUUGCUUCCAUGACAGUGGCCAAAAACUUUGUGGUCACUGUUCUGAUUAGUACACAAUGCAAUUAUGAAUUCCAAGAUCAAACACGUAGCAUUCUUCAUUGACGUCGGCGUUGUGUGAGCAAGACCAGGCCAGAAGAGCACGGUGGGGUCCAAUCGUCAUUCGUAAGGAGUAUCAUUUGGGUAAAUAGGAGGCAAUAAAUAUCUUCAUGCCCACUGCGUUGACUAAAUCCGAGAGUCCGAGCUACUGCCAUAACAAUCAAUGUUAUGUCAUGUGCAUUGAUAUUAUAUAGCAGUAGAAUAAAUUUCUUUCCGUUCGCAUUACUGGCAUAAUUGUGUGAAAUUUCUUUUCGUUUUACAAAUUGACAGAUUUAAAGUUUGUGAAAAAAAAAAAAAAGAUUUAGAUCCAUUUAUUUGUGAACAAGAAAAAAGAUCUCACAUAAUUGUGUAAGUUAUGUGAAGCAUAAAAUAAACUUAUCACAAAAGUAAUAUCUUUACCCUAGUUCCUUAUGUUAAUCGUAAAAAGUUAUUUUUAAAAUUUUGACACCCUUACUAAAAAGUAGGGAAAUUAUGUGACAAUCUAUUUUGAAAAUUAUCAUCGCCUUGGAAUUUGGGUAGCUAAUUAAAAAUGAACGAGUUUAUGUUGCAAGCUUUACCAGUCCCGUUAAUCAAGAGGUGUGGUGAGAUAGGUGAGUUUCACUCAAUUCUUAACUAGUUAUCUCGAACUUGAACGGUGAGAACAUCUUCUGGUAGGAAUCAUUCUUACUUUAAUAUGAGUCAUAUACUAUGCAAAUCUGGUUUAAUCAAGUUAGUAAAUUUACGAGUUUGCAGUGGAUCCAACCAGCAGUAUUUGAGACAAAUUUAGGAGGCGAGUAACUUAUGUCAAAUUCAGAGGUGGAAAGGGAUAUUCAAUGUCCUAUCCCUUUUUCACAAAACAAAAUACAAAAGAAAAUAGUUGGCUUUAGUUUGAAGUGAAGGGAGUAAGAAAAGGAUUUUCUUGAUUGAGAAAGAAAACUAUUAUUAAAAAGAAGUUGGAGAAAACAAAGAUAGAUGGUGGGUCCUAAAUAGUUCCCAACUUUUAAGUGCCUAGAUUCAUUAUUGAUAAUAUUUCAUAUGUGGUCCAAUCAACAAAAUCGACUGUUAAGUAAAGGUCCAAAGUCUUAUCUUAGCAAUGUUGUAUUCAUUGUCUUUAUUCCUUUAAAAUUUACGUGUCAAAUUGUUCAACACUCUUUCUUGGAAUAUUACUAGGUGAUAGUGACUGUAUAGGUGGACUAGUGGAUGCAUAAUGCAUUAUCUAUAAGGUGUUCAAGGCAGUAUAUAAUAUCACACAAUUAAGUACACCUUCAUUAUUAGGUGUUUGCCCUAAUCGUUUUUAUCAUAUUUUGAUCUUCAUUUUACUUGAAGGAAGGACAAAAUAUUUACUAUAAUUAAUUUAAUUUAUUCUAAAAGAAAAAUAUAAGGUUCUUCAUAUUUGGAUUUUUUUUCUUUUUGGAGAAAAAUAUUUUCCACUUUAUAAAUUGAGGAUUUUGUUCUCUCACUUUACAAUAUUUGUAAUGUAGUCCUUUAGUACUGGAGAGUCUUGUUUUGGGGGAGAAUUUUUUCCGAUAUUUCUGUACCUUUUUUAUAUUAGUGAAUUGUUCAUAUGUAGGCCAACUGAUCAAAAUUAUAUAAAAAAUUCAUGAGGUCUCUUUUGGUAUAUUUUUCUUUACCAUCUUAUUUAUCAUCGUCUAAACUUUGUUAGCUCCCACAUGACACUUGGCGAUUUCGAUCACAACAUCCAAACAACGACAACAACAUACCUCGUGUAAACCCACAAGUGGGGGAUCACGACAUCCAUCUCAUAUAAUUUAUGGGUUUGGAUAGUUUCAAAUUUAUAUAUAGAGAGAUUUUAAAAUACUUUAUAUUUAUAUUUAGAUUAACACUAUUUAUCUAUAUUAAUAUAAUAUAUCAUACUCAUCAUAGUAGAAUUCCACAUCCACUGACCUUACUGCUGAGUUGGCUUUUGGGGUACGGUCCAGCACAUGUGGAUGAUUCAGCAAUAGUGUAAAGGUCUCAACAGCAAUUAAGUUGACCCUUAGCUGAUAUAGAUACCUAAAAUUAUUCUACUACUACUACUUCUAGAAACCAAUAUAAUGGCAAAAGGUAUAAAUAGACAAUCUUGAAAUACUCUCUUGAAGUGUACUCUCUCUUGAAGCCCUGCAAAAAUGCCUUCUAUUUUUUUGCUAUGGAACUCUCAAGUGUAUUUCCAUUUUGGAGAAUAAAGGUUAGUUUUUUUAAGUCUUGGAAGAACAUAAUAUUAUGGAUGAUCAUGUGUUGCAUCAGUGUGUUGAUAUUCUACAUGGAGCCUGAUUUAUUUUCAUGAACUCAAAUUGAGCGAAAUAAAUACACAGAAUUUAUAUAUUCGAUCUUAACUAUUGAUUUGUGUAUUUGAUUACAUAGCAGUGGCAGCAAAACUUUGUGGUUGCUCUGUUCUUAAUGAAUUCCAAGUAAUAGAUUGUUUAAUUUUAGAUGGUUAAGUUUUCAAUUCUAUAUUCUUCGUCUACUCUCUGUUUCUGGUUUCUUUUCCAAAUGAUGCAGUGAUCAUUGCCUCUUUUUUAAGGUUGAAUUUUAUUUCAUCAAAGUUUAUAAAUUUUUUUCGUUUGUGAACGAGAACGUUAUGAAUAUAAGGAAAAUGCAAGUUACUCGAUUAUUUCUUCCCCUCUUUUUUCGUGAGCAUUUAUCUGCUUAACAGGUUAAUCUUACGAUUUUCCUUGUUCUCCUGUUGACUAUAUUUAAAUAAAAGGAUUUUAAUUUAGUGUCAAUUAUUUUUUUAUUAAACAAUGAGUUCACGAGAUAAGCAAAACACAAUUUAUACACGUCUAAUUAUAAUUUCGAGAUAAUUACAUUAAAAUAAAAAAUUAAGCUCUAAUACACAUUGGUGCAGGUGUGUGUUUCUUAGUCAACGAAGAACAGUGUCAAAUUGCAGUACAAUGCAUCUAUGCAACCUUUCUGCCUUGAAAAGUAGUAGUCAGCAAGUGUCCAAUUAUCUAACUAUUUUGGAAGUUGGAUAAUGCAAAUAUUCAAAGAGAAAAUUGAUAGAUAACAACACUAACCUAACACUUGCGGAAAUUUAGUUUAGUGGUGAAAUUUAUCCUUAUU